rnacentral:rRNA from 1 species
UGGCGAACGGGUGAGUAACACGUGGGCAACCUGCCCAAAAGAGGGGGAUAACACUUGGAAACAGGUGCUAAUACCGCAUAACCAUAGUUACCGCAUGGUAACUAUGUAAAAGGUGGCUAUGCUACCGCUUUUGGAUGGGCCCGCGGCGCAUUAGCUAGUUGGUGGGGUAAAGGCUUACCAAGGCAAUGAUGCGUAGCCGAACUGGGAGGUUGAUCGGCCACAUUGGGACUGAGACACGGCCCAAACUCCUACGGAAGGCAGCAG